rnacentral:lncRNA from 1 species
GGUUGGGCCCACCUGCAGUGUCCUGGAGGCUCUCUGAUGUCGGUGGAGUUGAGCUGACCUGUGGGACCCACCAAAGUGGGGUCGCCUGACCCCAAUUCUAUGGGGUUAGGGUGUCAGCCCUGUCCUACAUGUCUUCCUCUUCAUGACUAUAAUGUUGUCUUGGUUACUGGUGUCACUGAUCUUUAGUUAUUCACCCCUUCUUAGUGUUUGGACCCUUGAAAAGUACCUGUUCUUACUCCUGCAACCAAAUAGUAGCAUGUACAUGUGGAACUAGGUUAUAUGUACCUAUAUUACUACUUUGUUUGGUUGUUUUCUCCCAAAAUGAGUCUUAUGUUGACGGUUAUGAUAGUAGAAAACAUGGUAUAAAUACCGUCAACAAGACCCCCCACACUUGAGUCUUUGCUUGUCCUCGAGUAAAGGUUAAAAAUGAGUGAUCAAUGGUUUCUAACUUAAGAUAGUAGUGAGCAUAAAAUGCUAGUUCGAACAUAGUUCAUCCAAAUGGGUUUUUGUGUAAGUGUCUAGCAUAUAUCCUUCAGAGGUUGAGAAAAGGAACAACUCUCAGAACAAGAUCAAAUUCCAAUUUCAUAUUCUUGGUACUUAGAGUUUUUAUGACACUUUUUAAAAUAAGUCACAUAGUUCAAUCCUACUCCUCAUUUAGCGCUCUAGAUCACUCAAAGUUUUUUUUAGUAGUCCUCACCAAGGCAUGAAUGCCAACUUGUUUCAUCCUAUAACUAUAGGCUUAUAUGGGGCUUGGUAGGGAUAAACAAGGUAGCAUACUCUACUUUGCAAAUAUUGUUAAGUCAAAAACAAGGAUCCAAAGAGAGGAGUGUCAUAGUCAUAGAUCAAGAUGUGCAAGUGUGUUAUAUGGUGGACUAGGUUGCUCCUUUAUUUGCUACACUCUCUCUACUUGUAUAUUGAGACAUGGCUAGAUUUUCUUUUUCUUCGAGCUUUAUGUGCUCAAUUUUUUUUUUGCCAAGCCUUUUAUGUCUU